UACAGAGGGUGCGAGCGUUAAUCGGAAUUACUGGGCGUAAAGCGCGCGCAGGCGGUCUUCCAAGUCAGUGGUGAAAGCCUGGAGCUCAACUCCAGAACUGCCAUUGAAACUGUUAGACUUGAGUACGAGAGAGGUGAGUGGAAUUCCCAGUGUAGAGGUGAAAUUCGUAGAUAUUGGGAAGAACACCAGUGGCGAAGGCGGCUCACUGGCUCGUAACUGACGCUCAGGCGCGACAGCGUGGGGAUCAAACAGG
rnacentral:rRNA from 1 species